GAUGAACGCUGGCGGCGUGCCUAAUACAUGCAAGUCGAGCGAACGGACGAGAAGCUUGCUUCUCUGAUGUUAGCGGCGGACGGGUGAGUAACGCGUGGAUAACCUACCUAUAAGACUGGGAUAACUUCGGGAAACCGGAGCUAAUACCGGAUGAUAUUUUGAACCGCAUGGUUCAAAAGUGAAAGACGGUCUUGCUGUCACUUAUAGAUGGAUCCGCGCUGCAUUAGCUAGUUGGUAAGGUAACGGCUUACCAAGGCAACGAUGCAUAGCCGACCUGAGAGGGUGAUUCGCCAACCCGGAACCGGGACCCCGGCCAGACUUCCACGGGAGGGAGCAGUAGGGGAUCCUCCGCAAUGGGCGAAAGCCUGACGGAGCAACGCCGGGUGAGGGAUGAAGGGCUUCGGAUUGUUAAACUCUGUUAUUAGGGAAGAACAAAUGUGGAAGGAACCGGGCACAUCUUGACCGUACCUAAUCAGGAAGCCCCGGGUAACUACGGGC
rnacentral:rRNA from 1 species